ensembl:misc_RNA Y_RNA Y RNA
AGCUGGUCUGAGUGCAGUGGUGUUUACAACUAAUUGAUCACAACCAGUUACAGAUUUCUUUGUUCCUUUUUCAUUCCCACUGCUUCACUUCACUAGCCUAAA